UAUAAGUGCUAUUCAAAUGUUAGAGAGCGGCUGAGGAGAAACAACGACAAAUACCACCGAAAAAUCUUAAACUCUUUGAACUGCUUGAUGUGGACACAAAGACAUUUACUACAGAGGAUAAAUUAUCUACUAUAACAGAAACAAAACAAAAUGAUUUGACGAAAGUUGGUGAAAAUAAAACGACCUCAAACAAUGAGACAAUAAAGCGCAAAAUAGUGGGAGAGCAUGCAAAAGGCGUAACUCCAACUCAGCAGGAUGUCAUAAAAAAGCGGAGGACGUCAGAGGAGGAGAAGCAAUGCACAGAUGAUAUUGUGAUAAAUAGUCAAGAUGAGGCAUUAAAAUAUGUGACAGCGUUGCAGGAAUAUGCUUUAAUGAAUGAAAACUUUCGAGCAACGGGACUUUUGGUAGAAGUUGAAAAGUCAUUAAAAAAUCCAGCCAUUAGUUCCGACUUCGAGGUAUAGAAUAAGUUAUUUGAAUAAAUAUUAUUUUCAUUGAAAACUGUAAAUCUAA